GAUCUCAUGAAGCAACUCCGUCAGUGAGUUAGUUGGCACUUUAUGAAAUUAUGCAUUGAAUAUUACUUCGCUGUUUUGGACGAGUUACGAUUGUCACGCAAAACUAUAAAAACACAUUUGAAGGAAGUUAUUCGUCGAGGUCAUUUUUAGCGCGUUCCCGGUAUAGCUUGUGAGAAUUCAGCACCGACUGCCAUGCAACAGCCUACGUAUUCUCCCAUUGAGGUGCACGGCGAUCCAGAGUGAGUGUCAAGGUGCGGAUCAGACUUCAUUGUUGCACCAUGCUGAGAGAGAAAGUAAGCCCGGGUCGGUUCCGAAGCCCCAGCAACAGUAAAUCCCUUGUUAAAGUCCACCGCCUCCUCUCGUCUCCAUCUCCCGCCGAGAGCAGCCGCAGAGUGACAAGUGCCACUUGUGGUGCAAGCGAUGUUAGUAUGUUUUUUUUUUUUUUUUUUGUCUGAUACUGAGAAAUGGACCGCGGGGUAUUGCGGAACCAUUCUGCAUGGCUAGGACAGUCAACGGUUCCUUUACCACGAACAUUUUAGUCGUGACCA